GCUCUGGUGCUCCAUGCUCAGUUGGAACCACGCCAAUCCAUCCCGAACUUGGCGGUGAAAAAGCUGAGGGGGUCGUAUAACUGGACGGGUCGCUGUCCGGAACCACGACUCUAGUGCCAGGGU
rnacentral:rRNA from 1 species